UAAGUAGGGGGCAAGCGUUGUCCGGAUUUAUUGGGCGUAAAGAGCGUGUAGGCGGCCAGGUAGGUCGGUUGUGAAAACUGGAGGCUCAACCUUCAGAGGUCGACCGAAACCAUCUGGCUAGAGUCCGGGAGAGGAGAGUGGAAUUCCGUGGUGUAGCGGUGAAAUGCGCAGAUAUCAGGAAGAACACCCGUGGCGAAAGCGGCUCUCUGGAACGGUACUGACGCUGAGACGCGAAAGCGUGGGGAGCGAACAGG
rnacentral:rRNA from 1 species